rnacentral:rRNA from 1 species
GUCCAGACUCCUACGGGAGGCAGCAGUAGGGAAUCUUCCGCAAUGGGCGAAAGCCUGACGGAGCAACGCCGCGUGAGUGAUGAAGGUCUUCGGAUCGUAAAACUCUGUUAUUAGGGAAGAACAUAUGUGUAAGUAACUGUGCACAUCUUGACGGUACCUAAUCAGAAAGCCACGGCUAACUACGUGCCAGCAGCCGCGGUAAUACGUAGGUGGCAAGCGUUAUCCGGAAUUAUUGGGCGUAAAGCGCGCGUAGGCGGUUUUUUAAGUCUGAUGUGAAAGCCCACGGCUCAACCGUGGAGGGUCAUUGGAAACUGGAAAACUUGAGUGCAGAAGAGGAAAGUGGAAUUCCAUGUGUAGCGGUGAAAUGCGCAGAGAUAUGGAGGAACACCAGUGGCGAAGGCGACUUUCUGGUCUGUAACUGACGCUGAUGUGCGAAAGCGUGGGGAUCAAACAGGAUUAGAUACCCUGGUAGUCCACGCCGUAAACGAUGAGUGCUAAGUGUUAGGG